rnacentral:rRNA from 1 species
UACGUAGGGUGCAAGCGUUAAUCGGAAUUACUGGGCGUAAAGCGUGCGCAGGCGGUGAUGUAAGACAGGUGUGAAAUCCCCGGGCUUAACCUGGGAACUGCAUUUGUGACUGCAUCGCUGGAGUGCGGCAGAGGGGAUGGAAUUCCGCGUGUAGCAGUGAAAUGCGUAGAUAUGCGGAGGAACACCGAUGGCGAAGGCAAUCCCCUGGGCCUGCACUGACGCUCAUGCACGAAGCGUGGGAGCAAACAGG